CAGCAGCCACGGUAAUACGAAGGGGGCUAGCGUUGUUCGGAAUUACUGGGCGUAAAGCACACGUAGGCGGAUCGAUCAGUCAGGGGUGAAAUCCCAGGGCUCAACCCUGGAACUGCCUUUGAUACUGUCGAUCUGGAGUAUGGAAGAGGUGAGUGGAAUUCCGAGUGUAGAGGUGAAAUUCGUAGAUAUUCGGAGGAACACCAGUGGCGAAGGCGGCUCACUGGUCCAUUACUGACGCUGAGGUGCGAAAGCGUGGGGAGCAAACAGGAUUAGAUACCCCUGUAGUCCCUGUCUCUUAUAC
rnacentral:rRNA from 1 species